rnacentral:rRNA from 1 species
UGCCAGCAGCCGCGGUAAUACGUAGGGUGCAAGCGUUAUCCGGAUUUACUGGGCGUAAAGAGUUCCGUCGGCGUUUUUGUAAGUUGUUUGUUUAAGCCUGGGGCUCAACUCCAGAAAAGCACGCAAAACUGCAAGAAUUGAGUUUGUUUGGGGAAGCUAGAAUUCUCGGUGGAGGGGUGAAAUCCGUAGAUAUCGAGAGGAAUACCGUUCGCGAAGGCGGGCUUCUGAAACACAACUGACGCUCAGGGACGAAAGCUUGGGUAGCAAAAGGGAUUAGAUA